rnacentral:rRNA from 1 species
AUUUAAAGAAAGCGUAAUAGCUCACUGGUCGAGUCGGCCUGCGCGGAAGAUGUAACGGGGCUAAACCAUGCACCGAAGCUGCGGCAGCGACACUAUGUGUUGUUGGGUAGGGGAGCGUUCUGUAAGCCUGUGAAGGUGUACUGUGAGGUAUGCUGGAGGUAUCAGAAGUGCGAAUGCUGACAUAAGUAACGAUAAAGCGGGUGAAAAGCCCGCUCGCCGGAAGACCAAGGGUUCCUGUCC